AUUCAGCUGACGAGUCCCGAAUAGGAUGAAAUGUGCGUCAAACUGGAU
rnacentral:hammerhead_ribozyme from 1 species